GGUCGGGUCUGCAAGAUAAUAUGCUAUUAUUGGCUGGCUUCUACCUGCUUUAUACAUUUGACAGCUGAAGAAGACAUGAUUCAUUUACAUAGAAAAAGCUUUCCCUUGCUGAAAGAAAAAUCUUGAUACAUUUCUUACUGAGAUCAUAUAGAGAAUAUACAGCUAAUUUAAUGAAAUGGAAACUAGAUGCUGCAUCAAUGUCACCAUGGCAAUAGUCAAAUCACAAUAUGACAGGAAAAUACAGCUUUUCCCAAUAUACCUGGUGAGGAACUACC